UACGGGGGGGGCAAGCGUUGUUCGGAAUUACUGGGCGUAAAGGGCUCGUAGGCGGCCAACUAAGUCAGACGUGAAAUCCCUCGGCUUAACCGGGGAACUGCAUCUGAUACUGGAUGGCUUGAGUUCGGGAGAGGGAUGCGGAAUUCCUGGUGUAGAGGUGAAAUUCGUAGAUAUCAGGAGGAACACCGGUGGCGAAGGCGGGUCUCUGGGCCGAUACUGACGCUGAGGAGCGAAAGCGUGGGGAGCGAACAGG
rnacentral:rRNA from 1 species